UACUAAAGUCAGUGCAAGUCCGAGUCAAAACAUUGUCACAAAAUCUUGUCGAAUUUUGUUUAUUUGUUUUGUUUUUAAUUUAUUGCAAAAUGUACAGUUUAUCUUAGAUUAUUGAAGCUUUUAAGCUUUUCUAAUAUCAGCAAAAGUCAUAAACAUAUGAAAUAAUGAAGUGGAAGAAAAGUAUUUAGGAAAAAUGAUAUAUUUUCACGACUUUCACUGUCGAACAUAACCUAAAAAGAAUUUAUUUUCUUUGACAUUUCUAUUGUACAAACCAAGUACAUUUUUAUAUUUAAAAGAAGUUUAAAAUAGUUAAAUAGAAAAGUUGUACAUAUAAUGUUAUAACAAAAUGUAUCCUGCAAAUCAUAAAACAGUUUUUGUGUUAGAUCACACACCGUAUUUCGGUAUUUCUACCGAAAGUCCCUUAGAUUUUGAUUGUUUAAAAAGUAGAGGUCAAAAUCUAAUUCCCUUGGCACCAAUUUGUAAAUCACUAUGGACAACGAGUGUAGAAUCAUCUAUGGAAUAUUGCAGAAUUGUGUGGGAUUUAUUUCCUACCGGAAAAUUGGUCAGAUUCGUUGUCAGUGAUCAUGCGGCACAUAUUUUAAAUACUUGGAGUUCUUUGCAACAGAAUCUUUCACACAUAAUGAAUGGCAUGGCGAUAAUUGGAGUACCGCCUAGAACUCAUCAGCCAGGAGCUGAUUUUUCGGUAAUUCAUGGUUUAAGAGUUGCAAUUGAGGCUCUAACUGAAUCGUCAGACAUUCAGCAGGAAAAAAGAUCUGCUUUGAAUGAAAAUGCUAGCAAACUUUUAAAUAGAGGACGAGUUAUUUGCAUUACAAGUGCUAGGGAUAAUAUUAAUAUGAAAAGUUUGGAAAAUAUUUUCCUCAAUGAAUUGGCACAGCAAAAUAAAAUAGCCUUGUCUUCCGAUAGAUUAAUACCGAUAAACCAUUGUCAUUUGGUUAUUCUUAAUAUAUUUCCCAACAAUGUAGAAUCUCAGGUUACUAGUCAAACUCCAAGAGAGGUUUCGCCUCUUCUAACGAUGGAAGUUCACGCCAUGAAGGCUCCAAGUUUACACUGUAAAUUGUCUCAUUUAAUUCUAGCUCAUUACGAUUUGGCGAGUACAACAGUCACAGGAAUUCCUAUGAAGGAGGAACAAAAUGCAAGUUCUUCGGCAAAUUAUGAUGUCGAAAUUUUCCACGCGUCCGCCGCACAUACUGCAAUUUUGAAAGGAAAUCCUCAGGAUACAGCUUUGAUGAAAAUUUUCCGAAGAUUUGAGGGAGGCUCUGAAUAUGAAACAAUAACAUUAAAAUGGUGCACGCCGCGAGGUUGCAGUGCCUUGGAAAUGCAAAAUUGCACAUCAAUGCAUCGAAUUACGCCAGUGGAUGUAAACAGUAGACCCUCAUCAUGUUUGAUUAACUUUUUAUUAAACGGUCGAUCCGUAAUGUUAGAAAUGGUGCGAAAAAGUGGAGGCAAAUCGAUAUCACAUCUGCUGGCCGCUCACGGUGGUGAAAUAUUUAUUCAUACACUUUCAACGUCUAGAAGUGUUUUAGAAGAUCCUCCCUCGAUUAGUGAAGGUUGCGGUGGAAGAGUCACAGAUUAUAGAAUAACAGAUUUCGGAACUUUAAUGCGAAAUAAUAUGCUUGUGCCUCUAAAGCGAACUUCUAUUGACGUCGAUGGUCCAGCGGAGAAAAUGCGAGCUAGAUUAGAAAGACACACAAAGUACUGGCCGAUUACUAUUUCCAAUACUUUGAUGUUUAAUUUAAAACAGGUUGUGGAUCCGCUGCCAGAUUUGAUUGUAAAGGAUGAAUUAACGAAAGAUGAAGUAUUGCAAUGUAAACAAAUUAUUUUUGGCUUACUUCAACUGGAAGCUAAACAUGAAUCAUUACCAUUACCGAGUAUCGGCGGUGGCCGAGGGGGAAAAGGUGGAGUGCGACGUGAAGAACAUUAUCGUCUUUUAUUCACUGAACUCGAAACAUUUUUAAAGGGUCACGCAAAUAAUUCACCUGCUCACAACGAAGUUUUCAACUGUUUACUCGAAGUUCGAAACAAGGAUGACAAAGAUAAAGUGGAAUUGGAUCAGGCAUUACGCGAAUUGGAUGGGCAAGUUGAUACGCUAUUGGGGAAAGAGGAGCCAAAUGUUCGAUCGACAGUUAUACGAGCAACGACAGAUUCGCCAAUGUCACCGCCACCUGUUUCAUCAGCACCUGUAAAAUUGCAAAAAGGACUGUACGGACAGAAGAGUCUUUUGGAUAUCUGGUUACAGAGAAGUGCUCCCAAAAAUAAAACUCCGGAAUUUUGUGGUAGAUUGAGUGAGGACGGUAUGAAGGCGAAAUUAUAUCCUAAUCUCAAAGAAACUGGACGUGAACCUCGAGAAACCAUGAUCGAGGGUUAAAAUCUCAUUUCGAGAACAAUGGCUGCUUGACAAAGGACCAAAUCGUAAACAGGAUUCAUUCAUAAAAAUUGAGAUGGUUCGAAAUGUAUAUUUUAGAGGAGUCCAAUUGGCAGGUCAAUUACUAUUGUUUGAAUUGGCAAGAAUUAUUGAGCACUUGGAAGGAAUUCGAAGAAGCCAUGAGUGACUGAGAUGAAACAAGUUUAAUUUCUGAAUGAGAUAUCUAAAAGUGAAAUGUUUCAAAGACAGUCUAUAUUUAUAAACUUCUGGACGCCAAUGAAAUCUUUUGAAUUGAAAGGAACUUAAAAUAUCUAUGACUUAUAGAAGGAAGUUGACUCUCCAAAGUCUGCAUUAUAAAAAAAAUGAACACUGAAGGAAUAAAAUAUCUGGUUCAGAUGAAUCAGUCGGAAAAUUUAUUGUACAGUGUGCAAGAGCGCUUUAUAGUCAAGAGCUCGACAACACGAAUCAUUGUGAUGGCAUUGGGUAAAAUCAAAUGUUUUCAUUUUGUCCUAACCUAACCAUGUGUGAUGCCGGCAUCAAGAUUUCAGCCACCUGUGAAUCCCCCUCCAAAGUGAAGAAACACCUGUUACAGUCUACCGUAAACAUCAGGCUGUUUCUGUUUAUUUUCGUAUGAGAAUUCGAAUCAUCGAAGGAAGAGAAAUAUUCACGAUUUGCAUUACCGGCGGAGUAAUAUCAAAAUGACGUUGCAAUGUGUGGCAGCACUUCCUUAACACUAGCGAGAAUCUACUUUAUCUAUUAUUUACGCUGUACCUUUAUCGAAAAACUUCUAUUUUACUAAAAUACUCGAUAGUAUUUCAGUUUUUCAAUCUUUUCCGAACAUUUUUAAUCAGUUGGAGUAAUCAUUCUUUUAUUACAAUUUUACAAGUUUGAAUAAUUUUGUUAAUAUUUCGAAAUAAAAGGGAUUAUAACAUCGGUCUUAUGUAAGAGAAACUUUAUUUCUUUGCUCUUUACUCAGAGUGUAUAAAACUACAUCUUUUUAUUAAUAUUUUUACCAUAUUAGUGUAGAUUCAGCACUACUGAUAUUAACAAACGACAACUGUCGAUGUUAUCGUCGAAGAUAGAGUUAAUUAAAUAUUAGAUCAUUGUAAACAACGUUAUAAUUAAAAUUGAUUAAAAGUACGAUUGUUUUUUUGAAAAAUACCAUCAGUUGUAAAAACCAUAUCGAUAAGUAUAAUAACUAUAAAAAAGCCAACA